rnacentral:tRNA from 1 species
GGAGAGAUGGCUGAGUGGACUAAAGCGGCGGAUUGCUAAUCCGAUCGUGAUGUGUUAUGUUACAAAAAAAGUAUUCUUUCCG